UACCAAACUCUACUUGGUUUACUAGUCAAGGAAUGACAACGAUACCUAAGAACUCAAUUGAUCUUGAGAAAGAGAAAAAACAAACCCCUCAGCUCAUGCAUUAACUAUCUAGGGAACGACCGAGAACAAGGAACUGCAAACUCUGCUUUGUUUACUAGUAAAGGAAUGCCAACAAUACCUAAGAACUCCAUCGAUCUUGAGAAAGAGAACAAGAAAACUAACCCCUCAGCUUAUGCAUCAACUAAUGUAGAUUCUAUAGGGAAUGGGCAAGGACAAGGACUUAAAAGCUCUACUUUUGAGUCAAGGAAUGAGAAUGAACCAUAACAACAACAUGACGUCUGAAUUUGAGGUGGGAUGUAUUAACAAAAGUGGUCUUUCUGCUAAUCAACAUACAAAAACUCAUUCUAAAAGAACAAGAUCGAAUUCGACCAUGUUGUCUAGUCAAGAAAUGCAAAAAAUGGAUAAAAUGAUUCUUGAGAAAGAGG